rnacentral:rRNA from 1 species
UGGGGAAUAUUGCACAAUGGGCGCAAGCCUGAUGCAGCCAUGCCGCGUGUGUGAAGAAGGCCUUCGGGUUGUAAAGCACUUUCAGCGAGGAGGAAGGGUAGUGUGUUAAUAGCACAUUGCAUUGACGUUACUCGCAGAAGAAGCACCGGCUAACUCCGUGCCAGCAGCCGCGGUAAUACGGAGGGUGCAAGCGUUAAUCGGAAUUACUGGGCGUAAAGCGCACGCAGGCGGUUUGUUAAGUCAGAUGUGAACUCCCCGCGCUUAACGUGGGAACUGCAUUUGAAACUGGCAAGCUAGAGUCUUGUAGAGGGGGGUAGAAUUCCAGGUGUAGCGGUGAAAUGCGUAGAGAUCUGGAGGAAUACCGGUGGCGAAGGCGGCCCCCUGGACAAAGACUGACGCUCAGGUGCGAAAGCGUGGGGAGCAAACA